UACGGAGGAUCCGAGCGUUAUCCGGAUUUAUUGGGUUUAAAGGGAGCGUAGGCGGCUGGAUAAGUCAGGGGUGAAAGACGGCAGCUCAACUGUCGCAGUGCCCUUGAUACUGUUUGGCUUGAAUAUAGUUGAGGUAGGCGGAAUGUGACAAGUAGCGGUGAAAUGCAUAGAUAUGUCACAGAACACCGAUUGCGAAGGCAGCUUGCUAAGCUAUAAUUGACGCUGAGGCUCGAAAGCGUGGGUAUCGAACAGG
rnacentral:rRNA from 1 species